rnacentral:rRNA from 1 species
GAUGAACGCUAGCUACAGGCUUAACACAUGCAAGUCGAGGGGAAACGACAUCGAAAGCUUGCUUUUGAUGGGCGUCGACCGGCGCACGGGUGAGUAACGCGUAUCCAACCUGCCCACCACUUGGGGAUAACCUUGCGAAAGUAAGACUAAUACCCAAUGACGUCUCUAGAAGACAUCUGAAGGAGAUUUAAGAUUUAUCGGUGAUGGAUGGGGAUGCGUCUGAUUAGGUUGUUGGCGGGGUAACGGCCAACCAAGGCGACGAUCAGUAGGGGUUCUGAGAGGAAGGUCACCCACAUUGGAACUGAGACACGGUCCAAACGCCUACGGGAGGCAGCAGUGAGGAAUAUUGGUCAAUGGGCGAGAGCCUGAACCAGCCAAGUAGCGUGCAGGAAGACGGCCCUAUGGGUUGUAAACUGCUUUUAUAAGGGAAUAAAGUGGGAGUCGUGACUCCUUUUGCAUGUACCUUAUGAAUAAGGACCGGCUAAUUCCGUGCCAGCCGCCGCAGUAA